GUUGAUUUGAGGUACCCAUUUUAGCGAUCCGCGGGAGCUUGGUUCCAACAAUCCCAAGCCAUCACAUGGCAAACAUCAAUUAAGGCUAGGUGAAUCAUUGCUUAAUUGGCUCCAUUCAACCUCCUAAAAAUAGUUGCUCUUUCUCCCUUUUUUUUUCACUUUUCACUUUUUUACUACAAGGAGACUUUGCCCUAGUGGUUUCCAAUGCACCUCCGACAGUCAUCGAUGGGUCUCAAUAGAUUCUCUGGCAACUUUUCUGUUGCUGCUCGAUUCGAUCGAGGUCAAAGAGAGAGCGACUGAGUCUCGUGCAAGGAUGC
rnacentral:lncRNA from 1 species